CAAUAGCGUAUAUUAAAGUUGUUGCAGUUAAAAAGCUCGUAGUUGGAUUUCUGGUAGGAGCAACCGUGCCGAACUUGAUUGUUCGAGUAUUGUGUUGUCUUCAGCCAUCCUCGUGGAGAACUUUUCUAACAUUAACUUGUUGGGAUUGGGACCCGCGUCGUUUACUGUGAAAAAAUUAGAGUGUUUAAAGCAGGCAUUAGCUUGAAUACAUUAGCAUGGAAUAAUAAGAUAGGACUUUGGUACUAUUUUGUUGGUUUGCAUACCAAAUUAAUGAUCAACAGGAACAGUUUGAGGAUAUUCGUAUGAACAUGUCAGAGGUGAAAUUCUUGGAUUUUGAUCAGACGAACUACUGCGAAAGCAUUUAUCAAGGAUGUUUUCAUUAA
rnacentral:rRNA from 1 species